AGUGAACGCUGGCGGUAGGCUUAACACAUGCAAGUCGAGCGAGUGGAUUCCCUUCGGGGAUGAAGCUAGCGGCGGACGGGUGAGUAACACGUGGGCAACCUGCCUUAUAGAGGGGGAUAGCCUUCCGAAAGGAAGAUUAAUACCGCAUAACAUCAGAUUGUCGCAUGGUAGACUGAUCAAAGGAGCAAUCCGCUAUAAGAUGGGCCCGCGUCGCAUUAGCUAGUUGGUGAGGUAACGGCUCACCAAGGCGACGAUGCGUAGCCGACCUGAGAGGGUGAUCGGCCACAUUGGGACUGAGACACGGCCCAGACUCCUACGGGAGGCAGCAGUGGGGAAUAUUGCACAAUGGGGGAAACCCUGAUGCAGCAACGCCGCGUGAGUGAUGAAGGCCUUCGGGUUGUAAAGCUCUUUGAUCAGGGACGAUAAUGACGGUACCUGAAGAACAAGCCACGGCUAACUACGUGCCAGCCGCCGCAGUAACAC
rnacentral:rRNA from 1 species